GUGUGGUCAACUAACUACUUGAUCACUGGGAUAGUUAAAAUACAAUAUUUGAACCAUCCAGGAAAUGCCCUUAAAAUGAGAGGUGAAUGCUUCCUUCCAUCUUUCUUCCCUCUGGAUGGAAUCUGCACCACAAAUAGGGAAAUAGGUUUGAUGCCAGAACUGAUGUAAAAAGCAAAGCAACAACAAAAAACUGGAUGGUGUCAGGUGUUGUGGCAAACACCUUUAUACCAGCAGUCAAGAAGCAGAGGUUUUGCUGAGCCCUGUAGCUUUAUGCAGUAUUCUGUUAACAAACACUGAGUGCUCUGAUGCGCUGGUAGGCACAAAUACGAGUCUGAGAAAAUAAAGUUAAGUGACUGAACUUGGCCUGCUGCAGUGAAAAACAUGACUGUAUUGUAUGGACUUGCUCAGGCGAGUGAACUAAUGGCAAACCUGAAGGGAAACGAGACACUAUGAAUGGUGUAUAAUACCGAAUGUGAUUUAUUCUUUUGGUUUUCACAAGAACUAAUCUAUUUCUUUUUCUUCUCUGACUCUCUCUUUGUAUUGUUUCUGAGGCUUUCUGCUAGAACAACUUUAAACAUUUCAUUCAUUCAUUCAUUCAUUCGUUCAUUCAUUUAAUUUUUACUCUUUAAGGUGAAUUUUCACUACAUCAUCCAGACAGUCCUUGAACACGUAAUUUCACCUGCUGUUCCUCAGUCAGCCUCCUAAGUACUGGAAUUUUAGGUGUGUGCUAACACAGCUGGUCCACACUGACUUUUUAAGUUUCUGAAUAAUUUUUUUCAAUGAGCGUGCAUUGUUAAAA